UACGUAGGGGGCAAGCGUUGUCCGGAUUUAUUGGGCGUAAAGAGCGUGUAGGCGGCCAUACAGGUCCGUUGUGAAAACUGGAGGCUUAACCUCCAGACGUCGAUGGAAACCGUAUGGCUAGAGUCCGGAAGAGGAGAGUGGAAUUCCUGGUGUAGCGGUGAAAUGCGCAGAUAUCAGGAGGAACACCAACGGCGAAGGCAGCUCGCUGGGACGGUACUGACGCUGAGGCGCGAAAGCGUGGGGAGCGAACAGG
rnacentral:rRNA from 1 species